GUAAUGCGUGCUGGAGAACGUAGUCCCCCAGGUUCCCGUUUGGUCCUAGCCUGCCUCACUUUCGUCAAGAGAACUUUCCCAUCUAGUUCUGCCUGUUGAAGAAGGGACUCCUUACAGAGAGGCUCAGACCAUGCUGUCCACAGUCCAAGGCUGCCCUAGGCCGCACUGCACAGCUUGCAGGAUUCUAGUUCCCUGACCAGGGACUGAUCCCAGGCCUUCAGCAGUGAAAGCAUGGAGUCUUAACCACUGGACCGCCAGGGAAUUCUCAUGAAGAGAUAACGUUUAAACAUGCCAGAGCCUGAAGUGGGUGAUCAAUAAACGCUGGUGAUGAUCCUCCCCGGGAGGUGACGAGCUCAGGCCAGGAGGCCCUGGGAGAGAGUGCUGCGGGGAUGCCAGGGGUCCACACCUGGGAAGACGAAGAUGAAGCAGGCGGCCAGCCCUCCAAUGACCGAGAUGACCUUGCCGAUGUCAGGGAUGAAGAGCGCCAGCAGCAGGGUGAGCAGGAACCAGACCAGCGUCUGCAGUACUCGCCGCCGCCGCUCCCGCCCCACGUCCUCCUCCACCGGCAUCCCCUGGUAGCGCAGCCACAGGCCUUCGACCACCGCCCUGCCCACACAGAGAGCGGCUCAGAGGCGCCCCUGCUAACAGCUCCCCACCUCCAGCCAUGGAGCCAGACUCCUGACUGGGUGGAUUGUAGGUAAGACUCUAACCCCUGGGCCUCAGUUUCCUCUUCUUUGAAAUGGGCCUAGCAGCACUCUUCUCAGGGUUGCCGUGGGGACCGGACGGGAUGGUGAAUGUGAACGGCUUACUGCCUUGCCUGGCCCAGGGCUAGCACAACCCAUGGGAACAUAUACUACUAGUCUCCUGAAAAGGAAGGGUCUGGGGUACCCAGAAAGCAGGGUGUUCAGGAAAGGAUCUGGACUAGAGGUUCUCAGAGGACUCACAGAAUGUUCUGGUGACUCUGGGACAAAGGGGGCCCCCAAAGACCCAGCUGGGAGUACUUGCAGGGCCAUGUGAGGCACUGACUCUUUCCCCUGGGCUUCCGGUUCUCCUUCUAUAGAAUGGAUUCUACACAAGGCCCAUGUUCAAAGGGCUUUCAGGGGCCUUGGUGAAAGGGAGCACCCCGGCGGUGUGGAAAGGGGACUCACCGCCCACAGAAGUGCAGGAUGGGGUAGGAGGUUAGCACGCUCAGGAUGAUGAAGGCGCGGGCGACGGCCACAGCCAUGUCCUCCGACGGGUAGGACAGGAGCACAUCGGGGUCCACAGCAGCUCCAAAGGUCAGGAAGCCACAGAUGCCUGAGGGCACGGACAAGAGGGCUGGGUCCAGGUGACCCUCGGAGGGUUAGGGCCAUGGACCGUUCACCGCUGGGUCCAACAGCAGAUGGGGAGAUGACGAAGCAGCUCCGGAGGCUAAGAGUGAGGCUCAGAGGGGUGUUGAGGCUGGGAUCAGAAGCCUCCCUCCCUGACUUCUCACAUCUCCCACCCCCACACCGUCACCUUUCUGAUCUUGAACUCACCCAGCAGUUCCUGUCUCAGAGCUUCUGCAUUAACGUUCUGUCUGCCCAUCUCCUCAUCAUUCAGGUCUCAGCUCCUCAGAGAAUGCUUCCCCGCCCAGCCCAUCCACAAUAAUCCCUGCGCCCAGGCACUCCCUCACACCACCCUGUUCUGUGUUCUUCAGAGCACUCCUCUCUCUUGGAACUUUUUUUUUUUUUUUACUUGUUUAUUGUCUGUCUCCCUCAACCAGAACACGAGCCCCAGGAGAACGGGACUCUGCCUAUUUGCCACCCUUGUUCCUGGCUGUAUCUUCAGACACUAGAACAGUGCUGGUCCUGAGAACCAUCUGUGGAAGGAAUCACAGGGCCAUUCUUUGUGGUCUCCCAGUCCCGCUCCCUCACCCAAACCAUUUCCUACACAACACCCAGAGCCGUGUGUCCCCGAGCCACGCCCCUGCUGAAGCGCUUCCUCUCUGCCUCCCAACAGUCCUCAAGGAUCUGGCUGUGUUCCCUGUCUGGCCGUGCUGCCCGCCACCCACCCUCAACUCACUCCACUCCAGCUAUGCAGACCUUCUUCCGUCCCAGCCUCAGGGACUUGGCGUUUUCUGGUUCCUCUGUCUGGAAUGCUUUUCCCCCAGCUCUUCAGAUUCUAGCUCCUUCUCAUGAUUCGGCCUUCCCCAAUUGCUACCUCCUCAGAGAGGAGCCACCUGUGACCUACCCACCAAAGCCAGCCCCACUCAGUCCCACUCACAGCUUUCUGUUUCCCUGUUACCAUGGCACUCACCACUGUCUGGAUUUCCUUACUGAUUCCUGACUUGCUCCUGUAAGACUCUCUCUCCGACUAGAUUGUCAAUUCCAUGAGGGCAGGACCGGGUCUAUCUAUCUCCAUGGCAUCGCCCAUGCUGAGAAAGUUCCUGGGACUUACCAGGCACCCACUGAGAGCUGUUGAAUACAUCUUUCUCAUUUGGGCAGGAGGAGGCCCAAGGUGGCCCAAGUUCAAGCCAGUGCCUACAGAAGUGUUUGACGUGUUGGGAGUACAGGGCUGUCCCCGGGAAAUCCUGGGCCAGACGACUUGGGGACAAAGAGGGAAAGUGGGAGCCCUCUAAGCCCCGCCCGUGGAGGGAAGCACUCACCUGUGCCCAUGUAGACAGCGAGGGCUAUGACCAUGGCAGCUGUCACCACCCCACCCCAGGUCUUCACCUCGGGCCGCCGCAUGCUGUUGAAGACGGGUACACUGCUCACGUGGCACUGUCAGGGUGAAGGGCAGGGUCAUGGUGGGCAGUGACCUCACCCCCAAGGAUAAGGGGCAAGUCCUGGGGCCCCCACUCCGUCCUUCCUUCCAGGACUCCCCCAUCCUGCCUGUAACGUGGAUUCCAUCCCAGGAUGGGGAGUGAGCUAAGGGGACAAAAGGGACCUUGCAACUAGCACCUGAAAUCCGAAGCAGAUGGUGGGCAUGGCAUUGAACACGGCUAUCCAGGAAGCUGGCCUGCGGACAAACACACAAGAUGCUGCUGCCCGGGAACCCCUCAGGGUCAUCAACCGCUGCCAUGCUCUUACGCUUCAUUCAGCCCCCCACGGCCUCCACCAGCCAGCAUGCACACAUUCAACCCACAGAAGUCUGGGGACUGGGAGAGGACACAUCUCCAUUUACAGGUCAGUAAACUAAGACUCUGGAAGGCCCUCCUGGGACCAAACUCCAGAAUUUUUGGCUCUUGCACUUGGGCUUUUGCUUCUCUGAUUUGUUCCUUUCAAGAAAAAGGAAACUUUUUUUUUUUAAUUAAGAAAAUUGAUUCAUCCUCACAUGGAAGAUACAGAUAUUACAGAUAAGCACAUGUUGAAACAGAUGUGCAGUUCCACCUUGGCGGUUCCCAUAACCUGAGGCCUAGUCUCACAUUGGCUCAUCUGUUGGACAUUAGUGGCAAAGUCUCCCUCAUCUCCGGCUGUCACUCUUCUCUCCAGUAAAAAGAGAUCAGGA